rnacentral:pre_miRNA from 1 species
UCUUACGGAUGAGCAAAGAAAGUAGUUUCUCGAGAUAAAAUCUACUUCUGGUGAAGAUACUGUGAA